rnacentral:rRNA from 1 species
CAGUCGCCGCGGGAAUACGGAGGGUGCAAGCGUUAAUCGGAAUUACUGGGCGUAAAGCGUGCGUAGGCGGUUCGUUAAGUCUGUUGUGAAAGCCCCGGGCUCAACCUGGGAAUGGCAAUGGAUACUGGCGAGCUAGAGUGUGUCAGAGGAUGGUGGAAUUCCCGGUGUAGCGGUGAAAUGCGUAGAGAUCGGGAGGAACAUCAGUAGCGAAGGCGGCCAUCUGGGACAACACUGACGCUGAGGCACGAAAGCGUGGGGAGCAAACAGGAUUAGAUACCCCGGUAGUCCCUGUCUCUUAUAC